CCUACGGGAGGCAGCAGUGGGGAAUUUUGGACAAUGGGCGGAAGCCUGAACCAGCCAAGUAGCGUGAAGGAUGACUGCCCUAUGGGUUGUAAACUUCUUUUAUAAGGGAAUAAUUGUGGGUACGCGUACCCAUUUGCAUGUACCUUAUGAAUAAGGAUCGGCUAACUCCGUGCCAGCAGCCGCGGUAAUACGGAGGAUCCGAGCGUUAUCCGGAUUUAUUGGGUUUAAAGGGAGCGUAGGCGGGCGCUUAAGUCAGCUGUGAAAGUUUGGGGCUCAACCUUAAAAUUGCAGUUGAUACUGGGUGCCUUGAGUGCAGUAUAGGCAGGCGGAAUUCGUGGUGUAGCGGUGAAAUGCUUAGAUAUCACGAAGAACUCCUAUUGCGAAGGCAGCUUGCUGGAGUGUAACUGACGCUGAUGCUCGAAAGUGUGGGUAUCAAACAGGAUUAGAUACCCUUGUAGUC
rnacentral:rRNA from 1 species